UUGCAGGAUAGAAGAUGUGGGUUUUGGGGUAGACACAGAUAUGCAACAGCAAGGUCUACCUGUACUGUCUUCUGGACGCGAUUGCAUACUUCAUGCUCAGGUUCUGAGAAGACAAUGGCACACCUACUGCUGAUAUUAUCACUUAUAAACCCCCAGAGAUCUGCCGUGCAAGCACAAACCAUGGUGCCCAGCCGAGAACUGGGGAUGCAACCAGCCCAGUGGAUUCUGGACUGGAGCAGAAGUCAUGUACUGUUGCGGCUCUUCUUGAUGGAGGAAUAGUAAGAAGACAUAAGACUUGGCUAAAGAUUCCUUCAUCUAUUGCCAUAUUUCAUUGUUCCAUGACUCUCUGGACCCUCAUCUAGAGCAUUAUUAUAGGAUUGGCAUUUUAAAGGAGCUGUUCGCAUUGUGAUAUGCAGUCUUUCUCUCAUGAGAAAAAAUAUGCCAAUAUUUGAGUCCCGCAGCUUGCUUGUUUUCUCGUUUCCUCUUACUCUGAUGAUCUUUUCGUUGCUAUCUCCUUGUCUUUUUGAUAAACAUUUUGUGCAUUGUGUCUCUUGAUGUAUCUUUGUCAUAUAUCCAUCUCUUGAUGUACUGUAACACUAUUAUUACGUCAGAGGAGCAGUUUGUUAAGGAAAGAUACAAGAAUGAAUUGAUGUUUAAUUGUGAAGUGCUUACCAUGUAGGUGCUAACUUAUGCAAAUAUGUUUGUGUUUGCUUCUGUUCUUGCUUCUCCUUUCCGUUUUUCAUGUCAUCUAGAGACGCACAAUUAGUAAUGGAAAAUACAUCAUUUAAUUAUGUAAUAUUGGAUAUCCUUAAACAAUAUAAUAUAAUCAAAUUAACUGUUAAACAAUAAUGGAUGGGAAAAUUUUACUGGAAGUCUAGAUAUCCAGUCUGCCUCGGGAAUUUGUUAGAUAGUUGAAAGGAUAAAAUUCCUGGUUAGCUUGAUUCCUGGAGUACAUGGUUCAAGUUUAGGUUCAUUGAUUGGAUUGCUAUUUGCUAAUAGGUUUGGAUUAAGGUUGAACACAUGCAUGUUGAUCGCAGUUCACUUAAUCUUUGCAGCUGCUUAUUUUGAGAGUUGGAUAUACAGCACAGAACCUUUAAGUGAGCAUUGGAGUUUAUUCUGGAUCUGAUACCAACAACACUGUGCUCAAUGAAGCAGUUUGUUAAGAAACUUCCAUGAGAUACGAUGGAAUCAACAAUCUGCAGGAAAAUGAGUGAAAAUGUUACUCUCCGGAGCAGAUAUAUCAAAAGAGUAAACCAGGGAGCAGAGUUGGUCUACAAUUGCCUCAACAAGGUAUCCUACAGAGACUGUGGCAGCUUGAGCAUAUUUCCCAUCAGCAUUCCAUUGCCAAACUUAAGAAGCGACCGGUCAAGCCCUGUCGAGCCACGCAACUGGCGAGUGGAGGAGAGGGAGAGAUGGCCAUUGGCAGAGACUGCCAUUU